rnacentral:rRNA from 1 species
UAUGUGAUCGUCUCUCGCAUAUCAAUAAGCGGAGGAAAAGAAACUAACAAGGAUUCCCUUAGUAACGGCGAGUGAAGCGGGAAGAGCUCAAAUUUGAAAUCUUCAAGGUUUUACCUUGACGAAUUGUAGUUUAAAGAAGUGUUUUCUGUUGAAGUUUUGGUAAAAGUUCUUUGGAAUAGGACAUCAUAGAGGGUGAGAAUCCCGUAUUUGACCAUUAUUUUCAGCUGUGUGAUACACUUUCAAAGAGUCGGAUUGUUUGGGAAUGCAGUCCAAAAUGGGUGGUAAAUUUCAUCUAAAGCUAAAUAUUGGCGAGAGACCGAUAGGCGAACAAGUACCGUGAGGGAAAGAUGAAAAGAACUUUGAAAAGAGAGUUAAACAGUACGUGAAAUUGUCAAAAGGGAAGCGUUUGACACCAGUGUUGUUUUCUCGAAAAUCAAUUAAAAAGAGUUUGAUUUUGUUGUGUAUUGACCUUAACAGCUUGCAUUUCAAUUUUCUUGCUUUUUUUAAUGCACUUUUCGUUUAACAAGUCAACAUCAGUUUCUUUUGUUGUAAAAAGGUCAUUGGAAGGUGGCUUUCUUUUCGGAGAAAGUGUUUAUAGCCUUUGACUCCUGCAAUCGGAGAGACUGAGGUCUGCAGCGUAGAUCCUUCGGGGUUAGAUACAUUUGUGCUAAGUUAUAGCUUUUUAUAGACAACUUGUUGACUAUGAUUAGUCUUGUAGCUUACUCGCUUAUGCUAUUUUACCUACGCUUAGGAUGUUGAAGAUGUAGCACAUCAU